GACGAACGCUGGCGGCGUGCCUAAUACAUGCAAGUAGAACGCUGAAGAGAGGAGCUUGCUCUUCUUGGAUGAGUUGCGAACGGGUGAGUAACGCGUAGGUAACCUGCCUGGUAGCGGGGGAUAACUAUUGGAAACGAUAGCUAAUACCGCAUAAAAUUGAUUAUUGCAUGAUAAUUAAUUGAAAGAUGCAACUGCAUCACUACCAGAUGGACCUGCGUUGUAUUAGCUAGUUGGUGAGGUAACGGCUCACCAAGGCGACGAUACAUAGCCGACCUGAGAGGGUGAUCGGCCACACUGGGACUGAGACACGGCCCAGACUCCUACGGGAGGCAGCAGUAGGGAAUCUUCGGCAAUGGGGGGAACCCUGACCGAGCAACGCCGCGUGAGUGAAGAAGGGUUUCCGAUCGUAAAGCUCUGUUGUAAGAGAAGAACGGGUGUGAGAGUGGAAAGUUCACACUGUGACGGUAUCUUACCAGAAAGGGACGGCUAACUACGUGCCAGCAGCCGCGGGUAUACGUAGGUCUCGAGCGUUGUCCGGAUUUUAUGGGCGUAAAGCGAGCGCAGGCGGUUAGAUAAGUCUGAAGUUAAAGGCUGUGGCUUAACCAUAGUAUGCUUUGGAAACUGUUUAACUUGAGUGCAGAAGGGGAGAGUGGAAUUCCAUGUGUAGCGGUGAAAUGCGUAGAUAUAUGGAGGAACACCGGUGGCGAAAGCGGCUCUCUGGUCUGUAACUGACGCUGAGGCUCGAAAGCGUGGGGAGCAAACAGGAUUAGAUACCCCGGUAGUCCACGCCGUAAACGAUGAGUGCUAGGUGUUAGGCCCUUUCCGGGGCUUAGUGCCGCAGCUAACGCAUUAAGCACUCCGCCCGGGGAGUACGACCGCAAGGUUGAAACUCAAAGGAAUUGACGGGGGCCCGCACAAGCGGUGGAGCAUGUGGUUUAAUUCGAAGCAACGCGAAGAACCUUACCAGGUCUUGACAUCCCUCUGACCGCUCUAGAGAUAGAGUUUUCCUUCGGGACAGAGGUGACAGGUGGUGCAUGGUUGUCGUCAGCUCGUGUCGUGAGAUGUUGGGUUAAGUCCCGCAACGAGCGCAACCCCUAUUGUUAGUUGCCAUCAUUCAGUUGGGCACUCUAGCGAGACUGCCGGUAAUAAACCGGAGGAAGGUGGGGAUGACGUCAAAUCAUCAUGCCCCUUAUGACCUGGGCUACACACGUGCUACAAUGGCUGGUACAACGAGUCGCAAGCCGGUGACGGCAAGCUAAUCUCUGAAAGCCAGUCUCAGUUCGGAUUGUAGGCUGCAACUCGCCUACAUGAAGUCGGAAUCGCUAGUAAUCGCGGAUCAGCACGCCGCGGUGAAUACGUUCCCGGGCCU
rnacentral:rRNA from 1 species